AUUGAACGCUGGCGGCAUGCCUUACACAUGCAAGUCGAACGAGUGGCGAACGGGUGAGUAAUACAUCGGAACGUGCCCUGUAGUGGGGGAUAACUAGUCGAAAGACUAGCUAAUACCGCAUACUAUAGGAGCGGCCGAUGUCUGAUUAGCUAGUUGGUGGGGUAAAGGCCUACCAAGGCGACGAUCAGUAGCUGGUCUGAGAGGACGAUCAGCCACACUGGGACUGAGACACGGCCCAGACUCCUACGGGAGGCAGCAGUGGGGAAUUUUGGACAAUGGGGGCAACCCUGAUCCAGCAAUGCCGCGUGUGUGAAGAAGGCCUUCGGGUUGUAAAGCACUUUUGUCCGGGAAGCGGUACCGGAAGAAUAAGGACCGGCUAACUACGUGCCAGCAGCCGCGGUAAUAC
rnacentral:rRNA from 1 species